UAAAGCGGCAAACGGGUGCGUAACACGUGGGCAACUUGCCCAACGGUUCGGGAUAAUCCUCCGAAAGGGGGUCUAAUACCGAAUAACAUCCCGGGAGGGCAUCCUUCCGGGAUCAAAGGCGGUCAUCUUCGGGUGGUCGUUGCCGAUGGAUGGGCCCGCGGUCCAUUAGCUUGUUGGUGAGGUAAAAGCUCACCAAGGCUGCGAUGGAUAGCCGGCCUGAGAGGGUGACCGGCCACACUGGGACUGAGAUACGGCCCAGACUCCUACGGGAGGCAGCAGUAGGGAAUAUUGCGCAAUGGGCGAAAGCCUGACGCAGCAACGCCGCGUGGGUGACGAAGCUCUUUGGAGUGUAAAACCCUGUCAACGGGGAAGAAACGGUCGUGGAGGUAAUGCCACGACCCUGACGGUACCCGUGGAGGAAGUUCCGGCUAACUCCGUGCCAGCAGCCGCGGUAACACGGGGGGAACGAGCGUUGUUCGGAUUCACUGGGCGUAAAGGGUGCGUAGGCGGGCCGGUCAGUCGGGUGUGAAAACUCACGGCUUAACCGUGGGCUUGCAUUCGAAACUGCCGGUCUCGAGUACGGGAGAGGGAAGUGGAAUUCCUGGUGUAGCGGUGAAAUGCGUAGAUAUCAGGAGGAACACCGGUGGCGAAGGCGGCUUCCUGGACCGAUACUGACGCUGAGGCACGAAGGCCGGGGGAGCAAACAGGAU
rnacentral:rRNA from 1 species